UUAGAGCUUGCUCUAGAUUCACUAGUGGCAAACGGGUGAGUAACGCGUGGGAAUCUACCCAUCAGUACGGAAUAACAUUUAGAAAUAAAUGCUAAUACCGUAUAUUCUCUUCGGAGGAAAGAUUUAUCGCUGAUGGAUGAGCCCGCGUCAGAUUAGGUAGUUGGUAGGGUAACAGCCUACCAAGCCAACGAUCUGUAGCUGGUCUGAGAGGAUGAUCAGCCACACUGGGACUUAGACACGGCCCAGACUCC
rnacentral:rRNA from 1 species